rnacentral:rRNA from 1 species
GACAGAGGGGGCAAGCGUUGCUCGGAAUCACUGGGCGUAAAGGGCGCGUAGGCGGGAUGGCAAGUCAGUCGUGAAACCUCUCGGCUCAACCGAGAAACGUCGGCUGAUACUGCCGUUCUUGAGGGAUGCAGAGGAGACUGGAAUUCCCGGUGUAGCGGUGAAAUGCGUAGAUAUCGAGAGGAACACCUGCGGCGAAGGCGGGUUGCUGGGCUGACACUGACGCUGACAGCGCGAAAGCCAGGGGAGCGAACGGG